rnacentral:rRNA from 1 species
GACGAACGCUGGCGGCGUGCUUAACACAUGCAAGUCGAACGCAGUGGCGCACGGGUGAGUAACGCGUAAUCAACCUGCCCUUCAGAGGGGGACAACAGUUGGAAACGACUGCUAAUACCGCAAACUGAAGGAGGGGCUUGCGUCUGAUUAGCUAGUUGGAGGGGUAACGGCCCACCAAGGCGAUGAUCAGUAGCCGGUCUGAGAGGAUGAACGGCCACAUUGGGACUGAGACACGGCCCAGACUCCUACGGGAGGCAGCAGUGGGGAAUCUUCCGAAAUGGACGAAAGUCUGACGGAGCAACGCCGCGUGAGUGAUGACGGCCUUCGGGUUGUAAAGCUCUGUUAAUCGGGACGCGGUACCGGAAUAGAAAGCCACGGCUAACUACGUGCCAGCAGCCGCGGUAAUUC